UCAAACUCCGGUCGAUACUGACUCCCAGG
rnacentral:sRNA from 1 species